CGUGUAGGCGGUCAGGUAAGUGGAAUGUGAAAUGCCCCGGCUCACCCGGGGACCGGGCAUCCCAAACUGCCUGGCUUGAGUAUGGGAGAGGAUGGAGGAAUUCCUGGUGUAGCGGUGAAAUGCGUAGAUAUCAGGAGGAACACCGGUGGCGAAGGCGUCCAUCUGGCCCAAUACUGACGCUGAGGCGCGAAAGCUAGGGGAGCAAACG
rnacentral:rRNA from 1 species